UCUGAGCCCAGCCUUGGAGGU
rnacentral:miRNA from 1 species